rnacentral:lncRNA from 1 species
GCGUUCUCAAAAAUUCCGGAUAAAAUGUCAAUGCAUCCGGAGUCAAAACAUUUAAUGUAAGCCGUUUGACAUUCGAUUUCAACUAUUAGAUUAAGAUAUGUGAUGACGCAAAUGCGUAUUCUUUUCCUGAGUAUCAGUGAGAUGCUUUCUAUUUACUAUUUCGUGCGCUAAAAUACUACUUGCAUGCAAAACUAUUAAAUUCAGUCGUGGAAGCUUAUUUUCGUUUUUGUUAUCUAAAUUCAGGACACGGCAGAAAGAGCUUUACAUGUGACUUUCAAGCACGGUCAUCAUUACUAACGGUAUUCUGACCUCGAGUUGUUUCUCUUUUGUUUCUUUUUUGAGUCACUGUCCUAUUAUAAACUUUGACCUUUUCAAAAAGCUGAGGAUUGUCUACCCAAGGAAUAGAUUCCUUAACUUUGUAAUGUAUUUAGCCUUUUAAUUUUUUUCAUUCGAGCGUUACUGAUGCUUUUUUUGUAGACUUAACUCGUGUCUGGCGUUUUUUAUAUCUACAUACCUUUUUAUAUAAAUUGGUUAUUUUGAAAGUGUGUACAGGUAUUCAUAAACUUCUGAAUUAAGAAAUUCUUUGGCAAAACUAAGUUUCUCUGUAUAAUGUUUGAAUUGAUUUAAGUAAAAUCAGGAAAUCCUUAAAAUUUGAGAUGUUUUAUGAGACCAAAAUAAGUCUCUUCAUAAGAGGUCCCAAUCAAUUGCAUGCCACAGGUUUAACCGCAUACAACAUCUAUACCAUGAGUAAAGACAGCUUCAAAUACGAGUUGAGAAUAUAAAGGCAUUCAUUU